rnacentral:rRNA from 1 species
AUUGAACGCUGGCGGCAUGCCUCACAUAUGCAAGUCGAACGGCAGCACGGGUGCUUGCACCUGGUGGCGAGUGGCGAACGGGUGAGUAAUACAUCGGAACGUACCUUAUCGUGGGGGAUAACGCAGCGAAAGCUGUGCUAAUACCGCAUACGCCCUGAGGGGGAAAGCGGGGGAUCGAAAGACCUCGCGCGAUUAGAGCGGCCGAUGCCUGAUUAGCUUGUUGGUGGGGUAAAAGCCCACCAAGGCGACGAUCAGUAGCUGGUCUGAGAGGACGAUCAGGCACACUGGGAGUGAGACACGGCACAGACUCCUACGGGAGGGAGCAGUGGGGAAUUUUGGACGAUGGGGGCAACCCUGAUCCAGCAAUGCCGCGUGAGUGAAGAAGGCCUUCGGGUCGUAAAGCUCUUUUGUCAGGGAAGAAACACCGGCUCUAACACAGUCCGGGAAUGACGGUACCUGAAGAAUAAGCACCGGCUAACUACGUGCCAGCCGCCGCGGUAA